UAGAUAGAGAGAUUCUGGGGGUGCACUUUUUUAUGAUGCUCUGAUGAGGUGACAGCAUAGUUUGUGGCUCUCUUUCACGCCACGUGGCAAAGGGUCUAACUCACGCGCCUCACUCGCCAACUUAGUGGUUCAUUGCUUCAAAGCGUGGGUCCAAUGCCACCAUGAUUGACAGGACACCAGGGAGAGUGUGUUAAUAUAUUAUUAAGCCAUCUAAGAGUAAAACAAAUAAAAUUUAAAUUUUAGGUCUAUCAAAAAAAUUUAUUUAUUAUUACUUUUUAUUAGGCAAAAAUAUCUCAUAUAUUAAUAAAAAAGUUAUAUAUUUUUAAAAAAGAACUAAUAUAUAACCUACAUUUAAAAUAAAAAUUAUAUCUUAAUUUUAUUUUAGGUCUUAUAUCAAUCCUUUAUGUAUCAUAUUCACAGUUCCAACACAAUGUUAUGAUCACAUGCAGAUUCUGCAGAAAUCCAAGAAAGAGUGCAUGUGUGUGUUCUUUUUUUUUUGCUAGCUCUCACUUAGUUUGAGAUCACAAUAUGAGGAGGAGAAAGGAAGAGGGGACACGUGUUAGGUGGGAAUUCACGGGGUGGAGUUUGUAGUUUGUGUCACGGGCGAAUGGAAGAGAGGGACUAAUUAAAAAGUUAAUUAAUGAGAUUAAUUGUUUUUUCAUAUGGCUUUGUUUUUGAGGCUGUAAUUUUGAGACAGUGAUGUGGACAGCAUAUGAAGAUCAGCAAUAAAACACUGCAUUCUGGUGUCUGAUUCCGUGACCUGUUAAGUAUAAACCCAUUAGUUUAAUGUUAGUCUUGUUUGCAUUUGCUUUCAUAUCAGAGUUUUAAUUAAUUAAACACAAGCACCAAGAGGCUGAUCGAGAUGGACCAGCUAGAGGAAAUGCUGCUGGAAUGUUACGUGUUCCAAGUUUACUGGGGUUUUUGCCUUCUCUAAUGAACAAAUCCAGCAAGCACACGAAGGAUAUCUAUUUUUCUUUGAUGAGUUUUGUCAACAUCUGUGUUUAAAACAAUUAUAAAUAAAUAAAUAAUUAUCGUUAUACAAAAUUAAUUGAAAAGUUACUUAAAAAUUAAAAAAUUAACUUAUUAAAUUAUGAUUGUUAAAUAAAACUAAUUGUAAGUAACAGAAAAAUAUAAAAUGACAUAAAAGUAAUAAAAUCAUGAUUUAUUUAAAAAAGAUAAUUAAAAAAUUUAAUAAAUAUAUUAAGAAUAAAAAAAGAAAAAAUAUAAAAAAAAACUAUAAAUUAAAAAUUACCAUUUAAAAAAACACAGUUUCAUGUAAUGUUUUUAAAACGUUAAAAGUUAUUAAAAAAAUGUGUUUGUUAUACUGUCAAACAAGUUUUUAAUUAAUAAAAAAGCUAAAAACUAGUUGAAAUAUAUACUUACAUUUUUUAAGUAGUUAAAAUAAUAAAUAUUGAUUUUAUUCUUCUCAGGGUAAGGCAUGUUUUGGCUAAAAAAUUAUGCUCAAUAGUCUCUAGGCAAUUCAAAGGAGCCUUGAAACAGUUGUGGCGACUGCACUCUUUGAAAAUUUGGAAACAACAUGUCAAACUAUAUUGUAAGAUGCCAAUUUUGUUGAUGGAAGAGGUCGUAGCAUACUAAGAGAAGGAAAAUUAGAGUUUUUUUUACUUAACAUUUUAUAUGUUUCAAUUUACUCUUUGUUGUGUCCAAAUACGUGUGCCUCUACCAAAAACUUGUUCUCUCGUAUUUUUACUCAUUCAAAUUAUACAUCGUUUUUCACAUUAUUUUUACUCUAAUUUCCCGUCCUCUUGAUGUCUCUCCUCUCUUUUUUUUUUCUUUUUCUGAUCUUAUCUUUCAUCCAAACAUAGUGUUAGGGUUUUCAUAAAAGUGUUUUGAUUAAAAGAAUACUGCAUGUAUAUACUUAACAUUGUGAGUAGCAAUUAACAAGUUGGUCGUGAAUCUCGCCACCCAAGAAUGACACUAUAUAUGUUGGUGUGAGAGUAAAAGGCAUGAAAGAUAGAACAUGACACCACCAAGAGUAACAUGAUAAAUAAAAUGGUUUCUAUAUUGAAAAAAAUAAAAAAGAAUUUUAAAUAAAUCAUAGCCAAUAUAAAAAUAGAAAAAAUUAACUUAUACGUUAUAAGCUAAUUGAAAAAACUUCUAAAAAUAAAUCAGAAGCUACUUAAAUAAACUUUUGGACUAAAUAAAUUUAUUUUAAUCAAAUCAGUUUAUAAAAUAUUAAAAUGACUUGUCAAAUACACUAUCUAAAAUAUAGGAAAUACUUUCUAGGGGAUUACAUGAGCUGCUCUCAUGUUUGGUGAUUCUUCAUACAUCAUUCAAAUUUUUUUUACACCUAACAUAUUUUAAAAAAAUUUAAUUUUAUCCUU
rnacentral:lncRNA from 1 species